UGGGGAGCAGGUGCUGCUUAUCCCUGUCUUUUCUGGGACUUCUCAGUCAGUAUUCCAUAAAUCACCCCUAUGUGUAGGUGCUCUUUCAGUAUUGUCCUCUGUUCCGACCUAGUGAAUGAAAGGAUGGAGCCCAACUUGUUUUGUUUUGUUUUUGUUUGGUUCAAGGAAAAGGUUUAAAAACUAUUUUGAACUUUACUGUCUUCAGAGCUCCUGCUGCCAGACACAUUUCUGUCAGGCCUGUCAAAAAAGUACUUAACUCACUAAAGAUUCUCUGGAUCCAAACACUCUCCUAAAUAAUGGAUACUUAAAGUGUCUC
rnacentral:lncRNA from 12 species